UCGUGUGGGUUUACAGAAUAAAUUUAGGUGUAGGUCACGUCUUAUUCUACAAAACAUACAAAAAUAUUAGUGCUCAAUACAUAAAUAAGUCAUAUAAGUUUUUAAAAUUUACGGCCGGCAAUAUAGCAGAUAAUUACUGUGUACUGUGUAAAAUGUUGUUUUAAUGACGUUCAUGUUCAAACUAUGAUAUUAUGUCUGUAAUAGUGGGGUAGUUUAACCAAGUAAAUUCUUAUUCAUUUCGAAUGUUAUUAAUAGUGUCUGCUUUGUGUGUGAGAGAGCUAGAGAGAGAGCUAGAGUUUCAGCAUGAUAGAGGACAUGCGACAGGAUAACCACACACGCGCACUACACUGAAAGCAGCUCGAAUUCCCGUCGCGUGCAUGUGACCCUGUAGCACUGUGAGGGAGGCCGUGGAGGUGGCAUGUCGUUCGAAAACAAGCCUCUUGUAUCUGAUGUAUGACUGAUGAAAUCCUCUCCUCGGGUCCCAGGCUUCACUAUUUUUCAAAUCCUGACUACGGUCCUGCUGGUACGUUCCUUUCGGAGAGUCGUUCACAAGAUGAUCUCCAUGGAAACGAAAACUGUGACAAACAACCAGCAUAAUACAGCAAGACUGCUGGACUGAGUCUUUUCUCUCCACAGUCACUUUUGAGGAGGCCACUUUUGCAGGGAUGGACAAAGACCUUAAGCUAGGAU